UUAAUUUUUGUUUGUUUUGUCAGACGAUUACAGGUAUUACAAAGGGUUUAUUGGGGUCCCCAUUGGCAGGCGAGCCUGCCGAGGAAACGAAAGGUACUCAAAAAGGCAAGGGUUCUAUCUCGAGAGGGCCGAAGCCCCACGAUAAUGAUCCUUCCGCAGGUUCACCUACGGAAA
rnacentral:misc_RNA from 1 species